rnacentral:lncRNA from 1 species
GGGCACCCAGCGGAACCUUCCGGAACCCCCCCCGGCCUCGGAACCUUCCGGAACCGCCGGGCACCCCCCGAAGGCAGAAAUGCCCCAAAAAACCCCAAAAUCGGGGCCAAAACGGAACCAGAAACCCCAAAAACUGCAAAAAACGGACCCAAAAACCCCAAAAUUGGGGGAAAAACUCGGGGAAAAAACUGGACUCGGAAACCCCAAAUCGUCAAAAUGGGGAAAAACAGAGAAAAAAAACCCCAAAAUCGGGGAAAAAAAUGGACUCAGAAACCCCAAAAACUGCAAAAAAUGGACCCAAAAAACCCCAAAAUUGGGGGAAAAUGGACUCAGAAACCCCAAAAACUGCAAAAAACGGAGGAAAAAACCCAAAAUCUGCAGAAAAUUGGGGAAAAAUGGACUCAAAAACCCCAAAAUUGGGGGAAAAAACGGAACCAGAAACCCCAAAAUCGUCAAAAAUGGACUCAAAAAAACCCAAAAUCUUCAAAAAAUGGGGGGAAAAUGGAGAAAAAAACCCCAAAAUCGCCACAAAAUGGGGCAAAAAAUGGACUCAAAAACCCCAAAAUCUGCAAAAGAAAUGGAGAAAAAAAGGAGUUUAAAAAGGCCCAAAAAUGUCGUUUUUUGGGUGAAAAAUGGACUCAAAAAAAGGCCAAAAAUCUGCAAAAAAUGGAGGAAAAAAAAUCCCAAAAUUUGCCAAAAAAUGGACUCGAGAAAGGCCCAAAAAUUUCAAUUUUUUGGGUGAAAAAUGGACUCAAAAAUGACCCAAAAUCUGCAAAAAAUGGGGAAAAAAAUGGACUCAAAAAGGCCCAAAAAUUUCAUUUUUUGGGUGAAAAACGGACUCAAAAAAAGGCCCAAAAGCUGCAAAAAAUGGGUUUAAAAAAGGCCCAAAAAUUCAAUUUUUUUUUGGGUGAAAAACGGGAGCCGGAGACCCCAAAAUCUGCCAAAAAACGGACUCGAAAAUGGCCCAAAAAUUUCAUUUUUUGGGUGAAAAACGGGACUCAAAAAACCCCAAAAUUUGGAUUUUUGGGGCAGAAAAUGGACCCGGAAACCCCAAAAUUGUCGUUUUUAAGGUGAAAAAAACGGACUUUAAACCCCCAAAAUUUGGAUUUUUUGGGGUAAAAUCGAAG